CUCCCUCCUCCGCGUCACUCUCCUCUCCUGGCGACAGCAACGGCGACGGCACUCCUCGCUGGCACCCCACCGUCCCACUUCCCCGAUUCCCCCUCCCCUGGUUCCUGACUCUCUAUCUCUCUCUCUCUCUCUCUCUCCC